CCUACGGGAGACAGCAGUGAGGAAUAUUGGUCAAUGGGCGAGAGCCUGAACCAGCCAAGUCGCGUGAAGGAUGACGGCCCUAUGGUUUGUAAACUUCUUUUAUAAGGGAAUAAAGUGAGGAACGUGUUCCUUUUUGUAUGUACCUUAUGAAUAAGCAUCGGCUAACUCCGUGCCAGCAGCCGCGGUAAUACGGAGGAUGCGAGCGUUAUCCGGAUUUAUUGGGUUUAAAGGGUGCGUAGGUGGGUUGUUAAGUCAGCUGUGAAAGUUUGUGGCUCAACCGUAAAAUUGCCGUUGAAACUGGCUGACUUGAGUAUAUUUGAGGUAGGCGGAAUGCGUGGUGUAGCGGUGAAAUGCAUAGAUAUCACGAAGAACUCCGAUUGCGAAGGCAGCCUACUAAACUAUCACUGACACUGAGGCACGAAAGUGUGGGGAUCAAACAGGAUUAGAUACCCUUGUAGUC
rnacentral:rRNA from 1 species